AGUGAACGCUGGCGGUAGGCCUAACACAUGCAAGUCGAACGGCAGCACAGUAAGAGUUUGCCCCUACGGGUGGCGAGUGGCGGAUGGGUGAGGAAUACAUCGGAAUCUACUUUUUCGUGGGGGACAACGUAGGGAAACUUACGCUAAUACCGCAUACGACCUACGGGUGAAUGCAGGGGAGCUUCGGACUUUGCGCGUUUGUAUGAGCCGAUGUCGGAUUAGCUAGUUGGCGGGGUAAAGGCCCACCAAGGCGACGAUCCGUAGCUGGUCUGAGAGGAUGAUCAGCCACACUGGAACUGAGACACGGUCCAGACUCCUACGGGAGGCAGCAGUGGGGAAUAUUGGACAAUGGGCGCAAGCCUGAUCCAGCCAUACCGCGUGGGUGAAGAAGGCCUUCGGGUUGUAAAGCCCUGUUGUUGGGAAAGAAAAGCAGCAGAAGAAUACCCCGCUGUUCUGACGGUACCCAAAGAAUAAGCACCGGCUAACUUCGUG
rnacentral:rRNA from 1 species